CGGGUCUGAAGCCGGUGUGCAGCGCUGCGGGGCAGCAGGGGGCGCGCCAGGCGCGGGGAGCAGGAAGCCACGGCCGUGGUUUCCGCCGUGGUUGGAGUUCGUCCCACGAGACCGGUAGUGGCUUCCUAUCAUCUAGAGGUGGGCCUGAUCCUCACCCAGCCCCACCCCAGGAAUAGCAGCGAAAUAAUAAAAGUGCCAUAAACAGCUGGGCUGUGGCCGAGUGUGAACCCAGGCCUGGGGAGAGCACGGCGGGAAAGUCAUAGGAAAACAGCCACACAGCCGGCCCUGCCACGGUGGACCCUGCCCCGCAAGCUGCCGGCCCAGGGGACCCCUCGCCUUGCAAGGAGCCCACAGGCUGGAGGGCGAGGAACUGCACAGAAUGCACAUUGGAAACCAUGGUGAUUUGAUAUACGCUGCCAUGUCCGCUCUGUGACUUCUUCCCCACCGGAUUCACAGCAGCGGGACCUAAGGGUUGACUGAGAAAGUCUUUCAAUGGAUGAUAGCAACUUGGAAGAGGGAAAACUGCAUAAAUUCUACUUCAUCAACACACCAAUAGUCCACUCUAUGCUUAACACAGAAGGAACGUGAUGCCCCGGGCAGGAGAGCAUUUGGUGUUUAAGUGAAAUGACCUCUAGCAAUAGCCACAAUUGUUACCACUUGUCUCAACCUAAAUAAUUUCUACUGCAUAUCUAAGCUUUUACAGAA
rnacentral:lncRNA from 1 species